rnacentral:rRNA from 1 species
UACAGAGGGGGCAAGCGUUGUUCGGAAUUACUGGGCGUAAAGGGCGCGUAGGCGGCCCGCUAAGUCGAACGUGAAAUCCCCAGGCUUAACCUGGGAACUGCAGUCGAGACUGCUUUGCUUGAGUAUGGGAGAGGGAGGUGGAAUUUCCGGUGUAGCGGUGAAAUGCGUAGAUAUCGGAAGGAACAUCAGUGGCGAAGGCGACCUCCUGGACCAAUACUGACACUCAAGUGCGAAAGCGUGGGGAGCAAACAGG